GUCACAAUGCCUACCCAUGGUGAACUUGUCUUCACAGGACUGACAUUCAAAUUGUGUUACUUUAGCAGACCUCACAGUUGCAAACCUCCAAAAUGAUCUUCUUUCUAGGCAUAUUACUUAUGGACCUCUCAGGUAACGCCCAUGGGAACAAAAUCACUCCAAACAGUGUUGAACUCAACAUGAUUGAGGGACAUAAUUUAACCCUCUCCUGCAGCAUUAGUUACAGCUCUGGAGACUAUCUACAGUGGUAUCGACAGUACCCAAGAUCAGCACCUCAGUUUCUCUUGUUCAUCCUUAGUGAUAAGACAGAAACAUCAAAUGUGGAUCCUCGAUUCUCUGGGAGAAUGAAUAAGGAGAAAAGUCAAAUGUUCCUGGAGCUCACUGCAGCUGAACUCACAGACUCUGCUCUCUACUACUGUGCCAUGAGGCCCACAGUGAAGGAAAUGGGCUAACUGUUGUACAAAAACUCACAUGGCAUGACAAGACAUGAAAUAAAAUGCACCAUAUCUUCAUUCACAUUCCAAUCAGGAGGUAUGGAUGAAUUGUUUAAGCCUACGGAGAUUAAAGUCAUCAAAUGAAUACAUACAAGUUUAUUUAUGUUUAUUAUGAUUACAUUCAUGUUCAUGAUCCAUCAAAUUAAUUCUCUAACCCCUGUUUACUGAACCUCUGCAGGAGCCAAUGAGUCAUUCUAAAUCAUAACAUGUAAAACAAUGUUUAUUUUGUCCAA